GUAUCAUUAAGUGAAUACAUAGCUUAAUGAAGGUAACCCAGGGAACUGAAACAUCUAAGUACCUGGAGGAAGAGAAAGAAAAAUCGAUUUUCUUAGUAGCGGCGAGCGAAAGGGAAAGAGCCCAAACCGGAAACUUGUUUCCGGGGUUGAGGACAUAACAUAAAGAGAAGUAAUGGCUAAUUGAAGAGAACUGGAAAGUUCCACCGUAGAAGGUAAUAGUCCUGUAAAUGAAAGCUAGUAUAAUCGAGUUAUGAUCCAGAGUACCACGAGACACGUGAAACCUUGUGGGAAGCAGGGAGGACCACCUCCCAAGGCUAAAUACUACCUGAUGACCGAUAGUGAAGCAGUACCGUGAGGGAAAGGUGAAAAGAACCCCGGGAGGGGAGUGAAAUAGAACCUG
rnacentral:rRNA from 1 species